GAACUUCCGAACCAACUUCAUGACAAACUGAUACGCAGCGGACAAACGGAUGAACAAAUUGAUACCCAUCUAGAACAGAUUAAAUUCCGAAGAAUUGAAUCUGUUCUGAUACCAAGUUGAACAUCAGAAUGCGCAACGAACAAGACUAACAAAAUAAUAAUAUUAUUAAAUUAACUGAGAAUGCCGAAACGGCUACAAAACC
rnacentral:lncRNA from 1 species